rnacentral:rRNA from 1 species
GACGAACGCUGGCGGCGUGCUUAACACAUGCAAGUCGAACGGAAAGGCCCUGCUCUUGUGGGGUGCUCGAUUGGCGAACGGGUGAGUAACACGUGAGUAACCUGCCCUUGACUUUGGGAUAACUUCACGAAACUGGGGCUAAUACCGGAUAGGAUCUCCUGCUGCACGGUGUGGGUUGGAAAGUUUCGGCGGUUGGGGAUGGACUCGCGGCUUAUCAGCUUGUUGGUGUGGUAGUGGCUUUCCAAGGCUAUGACGGGUAGCCGGCCUGAGAGGGUGAACGGCGACAUUGGGACUGAGGUACGGCCCAGACGGCUACGGGAGGCAGCAGUGGGGAAUAUUGCACAAUGGGCGGAAGCCUGAUGCAGAAGCGCCGCGUGCGGGAUGACGGCCUUCGGGUGGUAAACCGCUUUCGCCGGUGACGAAGAGUGAGUGACGGUAAUGGGUAAAGAAGCACCGGCUAACUACGUG